rnacentral:lncRNA from 1 species
UUCACAUACUCUCCGACACCUUUUAAUCUAGCUGAGUUGUGGAAAUACGCUGAACAGAUGGCUUUUCUCACAAUAUCCCAAUCCGGUCCACACGACGUAAGUGGUAUCUUUAGUUGCUUGAGGAUAUCCAGAAGCUGGGAUCUGACCUCUCUAGCUUUUCUCAGACCUUUGACUUGUAGGUAAUGGUCAUUGCACCAGUCUCCUCUAUAGUCAUGCUCUUUCCACUGCUGGUAUACAUUCAGUAGCGUUAAAUGAUCUGAUUCUGGUACAAAAAAUUUCUCCCUUGCAGCGUCACUCUCUUCUGCUCUUUCUUUAGGUCUGAAGAACACUGAAGGUACUGAAAGCAUCGACACGAUAGUCAGAACCUCGUUUAUGCAAUCAAGCCGUUCACCCAUUAAGAGCAUCUUUGCAAGAGGUGGAUCCAGUGGGAACUCCACCAUCUUCCACCCAAGAUCGGUUAAUCCUCCAACAUUGCUAAGGGCACCCAACACCCAAAGCUGGUACAUAGAAUUGAGGAUGUUCUCUUGUGGAGGUGGAUCCAUAAAAUCAAAAUCUAACAAGUUGUCUAUUUUCAACGACUUCAACAACAACACAACGUUACCCAGAUUUGUUCGCUGAAUCUCUGGCACAGGGCUUGGCAACAUCUCAUUCAAAUAAGCACUCUCAGUAUACAGCCUGUAACAUGAUCCCGGCCCUGUCCUUCCAGCUCUCCCUGCACGCUGAUCAGAGGCUGCACGACUUAUUGGGAAAACUUGCAGAGCAUCCAUACCCAUUCUAGGAUUGAAAACCUUCAUCUUUCCGUACCCCGUGUCAAUCACAUAAUAUAUUCCAUCGACUGUCAAUGAUGUUUCAGCAAUAUUGGUGGCAACAAUGCAUUUACGGGCUCCAUCUUCUGGUUUCUGG